CUCCAUUUUUGUACAGUCGGAACAAGUGCUGCCAGGUGGUUCAUCUUUUCUGCAGUCAUUGAUAGAAAAAAGCAGCAAGAGCUUCUUUCGUUUACUCCUCUCCAAAACCGCCACAUUAAACUGAUAGAGGAGCUCAGCUUUAAACCGAGAGGACUGAAGAGCGGACUGGAUGAAAUCAUCACUAACCUACAUUUGUGAAAAAGGAAGCAGUACUGUCAUGGCAGAUCAAGGUGAAAUGAAGUUUGGUUUAAACAGCAUGAUUUGUGGACGUCAUGGACGCACAUGGACGUCAAGCUUUUCUACGCUUCGACAAGAAUGAUGGCAAAUAGCUGACAGCUGCAUGUCAGAGGCACAGCUGCAUGUCAGAGGCACACGGUAAGUGACGGAAGUGACGAGUAAGGUAAGCGACCCAUGUUGUAGGUGACGUCAGA